GUGGGGCUGUGGCUCCAGUGGUAGUGCACUCACCUAGCAUGCGUGAGGCACUGGGUUCAAUUCUCAGCACCACA
rnacentral:tRNA from 1 species